ACCGGAUCUAGCCCGACGGGGCGAAAAGCGGAAAGCCUUACCGCCUGUUCCGGCCAUUAUUUAAGGC
rnacentral:sRNA from 12 species